rnacentral:rRNA from 1 species
AUUGAACGCUGGCGGCAGGCCUAACACAUGCAAGUCGAGCGAGCGGCGGACGGGUGAGUGUUGUCUGGGAAACUGCCUGAUGGGGGGGGAUAACUACUGUAAACGGUAGCUAAUACCGCGUACCAUCAUAGGUGCCCAGAUGUGAUUAGCUAGUAGGUGGGGUAAUGGCUCACCUAGGCGACGAUCCCUAGCUGGUCUGAGAGGAUGACCAGCCACACUGGAACUGAGACACGGUCCAGACUCCUACGGGAGGCAGCAGUGGGGAAUAUUGCACAAUGGGCGCAAGCCUGAUGAAGCCAUGCCGCGUGUGUGAAGAAGGCCUUCGGGUUGUAAAGCACUUUCAGCGGGGAGGCGUUACCCGCAGAAGAAGCACCGGCUAACUCCGUGCCAGCAGCCGCGGUAAUAC